rnacentral:rRNA from 1 species
AGAGUUUGAUCCUGGCUCAGGAUGAACGCUGGCGGCGUGCCUAAUACAUGCAAGUCGAACGCUUCACUUCGGUGAAGAGUGGCGAACGGGUGAGUAAUACAUAAGUAACCUGGCAUCUACAGGGGGAUAACUGAUGGAAACGUCAGCUAAGACCGCAUAGGUGUAGAGAUCGCAUGAACUCUAUAUGAAAAGUGCUACGGGACUGGUAGAUGAUGGACUUAUGGCGCAUUAGCUGGUUGGUAGGGUAACGGCCUACCAAGGCGACGAUGCGUAGCCGACCUGAGAGGGUGACCGGCCACACUGGGACUGAGACACGGCCCAGACUCCUACGGGAGGCAGCAGUAGGGAAUUUUCGGCAAUGGGGGAAACCCUGACCGAGCAACGCCGCGUGAAGGAAGAAGUAAUUCGUUAUGUAAACUUCUGUCAUAGAGGAAGAACGGUGGAUAUAGGGAAUGAUAUCCAAGUGACGGUACUCUAUAAGAAAGCCACGGCUAACUACGUGCCAGCAGCCGCGGUAAUACGUAGGUGGCGAGCGUUAUCCGGAAUUAUUGGGCGUAAAGAGGGAGCAGGCGGCACUAAGGGUCUGUGGUGAAAGAUCGAAGCUUAACUUCGGUAAGCCAUGGAAACCGUAGAGCUAGAGUGUGUGAGAGGAUCGUGGAAUUCCAUGUGUAGCGGUGAAAUGCGUAGAUAUAUGGAGGAACACCAGUGGCGAAGGCGACGAUCUGGCGCAUAACUGACGCUCAGUCCCGAAAGCGUGGGGAGCAAAUAGGAUUAGAUACCCUAGUAGUCCACGCCGUAAACGAUGAGUACUAAGUGUUGGGAGUCAAAUCUCAGUGCUGCAGUUAACGCAAUAAGUACUCCGCCU